rnacentral:rRNA from 1 species
CCAUAUCAAUAACGGAGGAAAAGAAACCAACAGGGAUUGCCCCAGUAACGGCGAGUGAAGCGGCAACAGCUCAAAUUUGAAAUCUGGCUUCGGCCCGAGUUGUAAUUUGUAGAGGAUGUUUAUGGUGCGGUACCUUCCGAGUUCCCUGGAACGGGACGCCACAGAGGGUGAGAGCCCCGUCUGGUUGGAUACUAAACCUGUGUUAAACUCCUUCAACGAGUCGAGUAGUUUGGGAAUGCUGCUCUAAAUGGGAGGUAAAUCUCUUCUAAAGCUAAAUACCGGCCAGAGACCGAUAGCGCACAAGUAGAGUGAUCGAAAGAUGAAAAGCACCUUGAAAAGGGGGUUAAACAGUACGUGAAAUUGUUGAAAGGGAAGCGUUUAUGACCAGACUUGUGCCGUGUGGCUCAUCCGAGGUUCUCCCCGGUGCACUCCACGCGGCUCAGGCCAACAUCGGUUCUUGUUGGGGGAUAAGAGUAGUAGGAACGUAGCUCCCCUCGGGGAGUGUUAUAGCCUAUUAUACGAUACCCUGGCGGGGACCGAGGACCGCGCUUCGGCUAGGAUGUUGGCGUAAUGGUCAUUAGCGACCCGUCUUGAAACACGGACCAAGGAGUCGUCCAUUAGAGCGAGCGUUUGGGUGUAAAACCCGCACGCGUAAUGAAAGUGAAAUUAGGUGAGAGCUUCGGCGCAUCAUCGACCGAUCCUGAAGUUUACGGAUGGAUUUGAGUAAGAGUUUUAACGGACGGACCCGAAAGACAGUGAACUAUGCUUGAAUAGGGUGAAGCCAGAGGAAACUCUGGUGGAGGCUCGCAGCGGUUCUGACGUGCAAAUCGAUCGUCAAAUUUGAGCAUGGGGGCGAAAGACUAAUCGAACUGUCUAGUAGCUGGUUACCGCC